UUUCAUUAAUUACUUCCGGUGGGUGGGUAAAAGUUCUAAAGGCCACCACCAUUCUCUCACUCGAGGCAUGAAGAAGCCCUUUUCUGAAGCUGCCCUCCGGACGAGAGAAUCCCUAAGAAGGCCCUAUUUUCCUCUUCCACUCUCAAUCCUCGCAGGACAUGGUUUUCAUUUUGUCCUCCUCUUCUUAUAAAUAGAGCAGAGGAGUAAUAAUCUCACCAUUUGUCUCCACUGUGAUUCAGAAAAAAAAAAAAAAAGUUAUGCUCGUUGUAUCAGAGGAAUAUUGCCCUUCUCCAAUGGGCGGCUGAUAGUGAUGAUGCCACGAUCAACUACUUUUUAAAGCUGAUGUCUGACUAUGUGGAAGACAAACCCACUGCAGAGAGAGGAGAAAGAACUAUGAACUAUUUGUUUUUGGGUUUUGUAUUGUGAUGGAUGUGAAAGACAAGGGUCAUCCCCCUUGUCCUAAGACAAGGGAGUCUACUAAACCAACAUCACUAUUGAGAGGUGGAAACAGUGAGGACGGGUUAGUCCCUAUGAAGGUUUAAUUCACAGUGAUGGGUAUGUGCACUGAGGGGAGGUUGAGGAGCGCGGGAGUUGUUUGAAGAAAUGCCAAUGAGAAGGAAUGUGGUUUGACGGACUGCAAUGAUAAAUGUGUAUGGGAAAGAAAGGGAUUUUGUGGAGAUGUUGAGUUUGUUUUCCGGAUGCUUGUUUUGGCUGAUGAGGUCCAGCUCAAUGCGGCAACAACAGUGUGUCUACUGUCUGCCUAUUCAACUCUCUGGAAUUAUGGAGUUGGAAGGUUCCUUUUGGUUUUUAUCGAUGUUAACAAGAUCCCUUUGAAUUCAAUCUUGGUUACUGCUUUCAUAGACAUGUAUUAUAAGUGCGGGGAUGUGGAGAAAGCUUGGAGAAUCUUUGAUGGUGUUUCUUGUAAGAAGCUGCCUCCUUGGAAUGCCAUCAUUACUGGAUAUGUGCAGCAUGGACUUUUUGAGGAAACAAUUGAUUUAUACUGUCUCAUGAAAGUAGUCUGUGAAACCAAAUGAGAUCACACUGGUGAAUGUGUUGUCCGUUUGUGCUGGCUUAGGGGCACUGUAACUUGGGAGAGAAGUUCAUCUGUACCUGGGUUUAAAUGGGUUAGAGCUAAAUGUGAUUCUUGUCACUGUUGUGGUUGAUAUGUAAGCAAAACGUGGUAAAAUCAAUGAUGCUUGUUUGGUUUUUGUGAAGAUGAGUGAGAAAGAUGUAGCCUUGUGGAAUGCCAUGAUACUGGUACUGGCUUACCAUGGUGAUGGAAGUGACUCUUUCUUUAGUGGUUUUUUCACAGAUGGAGAGGACUGGUGUGUAGCCCAAUGAUGUCACAUUCAUUGGAGUUUUAUCAGCUUGUAACCACUCAGGAUUGGUAGAAGAGUGAAUGGUUCAAUUUUCUAGUAUGGCUGAUAAACAUGGAUUGUCUCCUAAACUUGAGCAUUGUGCUUGUAUGGUAGAUCUCCUUGGCCAGGCUGGGCAUGUUAAAGAAGCAUAUGAAUUGGUCCAGAACACGAUAAUUCCACCUGAUUCAAUAAUCUGGGGUGCUUUACUAAGUGCUGGCUGCAUCCAUUGGAAUCUUGAACCAGUUGAUACAAUCAGUGAAACAAUAACGGUAUUGCAGGAUCCCAAUCUGGGUUAUGCAUUCUGUUGUGGAACAUUUAUGAAGAGCGAAAAAUAUCUACACUACCCUUAAUUGCUUCUCCAACUGCAAUCUCCAUAUGGCAAGCUGACACCUUUCUGUGUAUAGGGCUUUAUGGGAAGGUAAGGAAAGAAAAUCAAGUAAACUAAUUGAGGUAAAAUCAGUAAUGCUGCCAAAAUGAAUAUGAGUAAAGGCAUAAAGGGAAGCCGAUUAAUAAUUAAGUUAUUUUACGGGUUUGUAACCAAGUAUUGAUGGAAAUGAAAAAAAUCAUGAUUGGAUUAUUGCCAUAGGUCAAAACUUUGGAGCCCCAUGGGAUUUGCUGAAAACUUGCUCUUCAUCUUGUAGAAUUUUCAAAUUUUCACACGCACUAAAGAAGGGAUGCACAUCACAGGUUAUCAUCAUCUCCCAGAUGCAAUUUUGUUGUAGAUUUCAGAGCAUUUUUUAGUAGUUUACUUGAGAGUUGCCAUGUAUUAUAUAGUCUAGGAUGUAAAGCCUGAUUUUCACUUGCAACUAUCAUCUAGUGAUCGAGUCUCAUUUAAAGAAUUGUUGAAUCUGUAAGGUAUAUAUCUCAAGAUAUUAGUAGGGAAGACAUUUGAGAGCUAAUUUGGUUGCUUCCAUAGCCAAUGCCCAUGUAGAAGUAACCAAGGAGUUUUGGCAACCCGCUCUCAUGUAUCAUAUAUUAAGAAUGUUAUUGCAUUCAAUGACACUAGGGAAAGGUUUAUUGUGAUUUAGUGGUUGCAUUUCAUUUGAAAGCUUUCAUCUUUGAGCUGAUAUUUCUGUUGAACAGAUUAGGAGCUGUGUGUGUCA